rnacentral:rRNA from 1 species
CCUACGGGCGGCAGCAGUGAGGAAUAUUGGUCAAUGGACGAGAGUCUGAACCAGCCAAGUAGCGUGAAGGAUGACUGCCCUAUGGGUUGUAAACUUCUUUUAUAUGGGAAUAAAACAGGGUAUGCAUACCCUCUUGUAUGUACCAUAUGAAUAAGGAUCGGCUAACUCCGUGCCAGCAGCCGCGGUAAUACGGAGGAUCCGAGCGUUAUCCGGAUUUAUUGGGUUUAAAGGGAGCGUAGGUGGAUUGUUAAGUCAGUUGUGAAAGUUUGCGGCUCAACCGUAAAAUUGCAGUUGAAACUGGCAGUCUUGAGUACAGUAGAGGUGGGCGGAAUUCGUGGUGUAGCGGUGAAAUGCUUAGAUAUCACGAAGAACUCCGAUUGCGAAGGCAGCUUACUGGACUGCAACUGACACUGAUGCUCGAAAGUGUGGGUAUCAAACAGGAUUAGAUACCCGAGUAGUC